rnacentral:rRNA from 1 species
GACGGAGGAUGCAAGUGUUAUCCGGAAUCACUGGGCGUAAAGCGUCUGUAGGUGGUCAAAUAAGUCAACUGUUAAAUCUUGAGGCUCAACCUCAAAAUCGCAGUCGAAACUAUUAGACUAGAGUAUAGUAGGGGUAAAGGGAAUUUCCAGUGGAGCGGUGAAAUGCGUAGAGAUUGGAAAGAACACCGAUGGCGAAGGCACUUUACUGGGCUAUUACUGACACUGAGAGACGAAAGCUAGGGGAGCAAAUGGG